AAGUCGUAACAAGGUUUCCGUAGGUGAACCUGCGGAAGGAUCAUUAAUGAUUGUAUGCCUGUCGAGCUUGCUCACAGGAUUUUACUCAUAUCCAUAACACCUGUGCACUUGUCGGAUGGCUUAGUGAAGACCGCAAGGUUGGAACUAUCCAUCUACUUUACAUAACAAUUCUGUAACAAAUGUAGUCUUAUUAUAACAUAAUAAAACUUUCAACAACGGAUCUCUUGGCUCUC
rnacentral:misc_RNA from 1 species